rnacentral:rRNA from 1 species
CUCGUAGGUGGCCAACUAAGUCAGACGUGAAAUCCCUCGGCUUAACCGGGGAACUGCGUCUGAUACUGGAUGGCUUGAGUUUGGGAGAGGGACGCGGAAUUCCAGGUGUAGCGGUGAAAUGCGUAGAUAUCUGGAGGAACACCGGUGGCGAAGGCGGCGUCCUGGACCAAUACUGACACUGAGGAGCGAAAGCCAAGGGGAGCAAACGG